rnacentral:rRNA from 1 species
CCUACGGGUGGCAGCAGUGGGGAAUAUUGGGCAAUGGGCGCAAGCCUGAUCCAGCAACGCCGCGUGAAGGAAGAAGGCUUUCGGGUUGUAAACUUCUUUUCUGAGGGACGAAGAAAGUGACGGUACCUCAGGAAUACGCCACGGCUAACUACGUGCCAGCCGCCGCGGUAAUACGUAGGUGGCAAGCGUUAUCCGGAUUUAUUGGGUGUAAAGGGCGUGUAGGCGGGAAAGCAAGUCAGAUGUUAAAACUCAGGGCUCAACCCUGAGCCUGCAUUUGAAACUGUUUUUCUUGAGUGCAGGAGAGGCAAGCGGAAGUCCGUGUGUAGCGGUGAAAUGCGUAGAUAUACGGAGGAACACCAGUGGCGAAGGCGGAUUGCUGGACAGUAACUGACGCUGAGGCACGAAAGCGUGGGGAGCAAACAGGAUUAGAUACCCUUGUAGUC